AAUGGCCGAAGCAGAUGAGAGUGUGAGAUCGUGAGGGAGAGAUGAGAUCGAGAGAGAGCUAUGGUCGAGAGAAGAGAGUUCGUGAGCGAGAGAGAAAGAGAGCAGUACGAGAUCGAGGGAGCUCGGAGGCUAGACGUGACCAGCAGCAACGCUGGAAGCUGCCAUAACCGAUGAGGCAGCAGCUUUAGGGGAGCUGGAGCGUUAGUGAGGGCCGACUUCGAUGGCUGGUCGGGGUCGCGUCAGCAUGGAGCGGCUAAUGGCAGGGCUCGCGGUGACCAAGAGGCGACGACGAAGGUCGGUUGCAGUGGCCAUGGCGGACGUUGAGGUUGCAGCGCACAGGCAGUGUGCGCUCGGGAGGAGGAACCAGCCGCGGUGGCGGCGUUCGGCCAGUAGUCGCGGGCAGCCGGUGGUGGCCGCCGAGGGCGGUGCUACAAGCGGCAGCGGGCGUCGGACCAGGCGGAGGCGGCUGGAGGAGCUAGUGCAGGCAUGCGCAGAGAAGGAAGAAGAGCCACGAGGGAGAAGGGAGAAGAAGGUGAGGAAGAAAAGAAGAAUAAAGAAAAAAAGAAAAAAAUAAGAAAAGAAAAUAAGGGAAAAUGAGAAAAUUUGGAAAAAUAGCCGAAAAUUCCAGAAAAUUUGGGGAAACUUCUAGAAAUUUAAUUAGAGCUUGAGGAGUGUGCUGGAAGCUCAAAAAUUGGGAAUUUGGACUCGAAAUGGCAGCCAAAGAGGUAACGCCGGUGUAGGCAUUUGAUCGAACUUCUUCUCCAGAUUUAUCGAGGUUCGAACGGGAAGGCAGUGAUCCUAGAAGAGCUCGGAGUUCGGAUUGGCAUUCUCAUAGAGCCAGAGAUGAGGCUUCGAGCCAGAUGUUACAAGUCCAGAUGCAAGCAGGGAUGGCACCGGGAGGCUGCUGUGGCAACUAGCUGUGUUGCCCGAGUUGUGUAUUUUAUUAUCUCUUGUACGUAGCCAUGUGAUGUUAUGUAUGUAUACCCUUGUGAGUAAAUGUAUGUGUUGUUGAGCGUUAAAUGUAUUUAGUUGUUGUAAUCAUCAUAGUGUGACAAAUGAUUGUGAGAUUGUUCGUUGCAUAUAGCUUGGUUGGAGAAGCCGAGUUUCAGACCGAGUAAAGAUCAGCGAGGUAUGUUAUCAUAAAUCCCUAAUACUCAGCGAAGUGUUUGUUGUGCUAGUUUUGUGCCUGGGUCACCUCUGGCUUGCUUUGAGGCAAGCUGAAAAGAGAUGAAGCUCACUCGGGUUUCGAGUCUCGGUCCGCUGAGUUUUCUUGUUUGAGUUGGGACAGAUUCCUGAGUGGAGCGAAGGGAAGGACGAAACCUAGUUCCCUACCUAGGGCGUUUCCUGUUGAAACAUAAUCCAACCCUUCAAACAUAAUCCAACCCUUCAGUUGUGGUUCGUCGGGUGAGCAAUCCGGUCGAUUAUUUACCGGUGGCGCCUGUAAGUGGGAGCGGGUCGUUACAAUAAGGCUCCAAGAAAGAUAAUGAUUAAACAGUCCUUACAAGAUAAUUCUAGUACAAAAUUAAGUUUAAGUUUUGAUUAUCUUUAUCAUAUCAGAAUUUAAAUGUAUUCAUGUAUUUUAGGAAGAUAUUUCUGAUGUAUUCGUGUAGAUAUACCAUAUUAGAGAUCAAUGAAAGGCACGAGAAAUAGUCAUCUUUUCAAUCGAGUAUUCUUCCUACUUGUUCUAAUCCUUCUCGAGUAAUUCAUCUAAGAUACUCGAAUACAUCUUCUCGAUAUUCAUCUUGUUUAAAUCUAUUCAUAGUGUUAGAGACAAUGAUGGUUGAGAUCAAUCCCUCUACCAAUUCCUCAUUAUUAACUUCUCUAGAGGGUACAACUUCUUCUAUUCCAAACCCUAUCCAACCCUUAUCUCUCGAAAACCAUUCUCUCCAUAUCACUCAACACAAAUCAAAUGAAACCAAUUCCAGAGAAUGGUUCUAAUUCGUCUUCCUUUUUCCUAAAGGUAAAGGAAAAACAAGGUAUGUCACUGGUGUAAUUCCAAUGCCAGAUUCAGAAGCCUUACUUAUGGUGUUUGGGAUGCAGUAAAUUCCAUUGUAAUGGCAUGGCUAAUCAAUUCCAUGGAGCCUAAGAUAAGGAAAACCUAUUUGUUUUACAAGACAACCAAAGAAAUAUGGGAGGUUGUGCAAGAGAUAUACUCAUUUAGAAAAUACAUCGCAACGUUUUGAAGUGCAGUAAGAAAUUCGAGACACACAACAAGGUCAUAAAACAGUCACUGAAUAAUACAAUUCAUUAACUAAAUUAUGGCAAGAAAUGGAUUCAUUUUACUUUAUGGAUUGGAACUGUUUAGAAGAUGGUGUAAAAUUCACUCAAAUGUUUGAGAAUAAGCAGAUCUUUGAUUUCCUACUAGGAUUAAAUAAAGAUUUGGACAAGGUACAUGGCAGGUUACUAAGUACUAAAUGGUAUUUUACAUUCUUAUGAUUAGUUUUGAUGAUGAAAAACAACAUUUGGUUUUGUUGGUUUUGAUCCCCAAGUCAUGAGUCAAGUUUAUGAUUUUCAACAAAAAUCAAUUUCAAGUACCUAUGUGAAAAUGAAAACCGAAUGAUAUAUAAUUUUCUCUAAGUCUGGAAGAUUAGUACAUUAUAAGGAGAGACAUAUAUGAAAAUGUUUUCAUUUUGAAAAACUAACAACA